rnacentral:lncRNA from 1 species
UUGAUUUUCGUAGCUUUAUUAGUCUUGAAACUAGGCAAUAUAAGAGUUUCAUGUUUGUUAUAUUUUACAUGGUUUGAUUUAUGUUGGGACCUUCACAUCCACCAUCUAAAAUUUAGAAUCAUUUUGUUAAUUUUGACUAAAAUAAAAACCUGCUGAAGAUUGCAUUGAAUGAAUUGGGGGACGUUUUGUAUCUUACUGUUGAGUCUUCUGGUCCAUGAAUAUGGUAUGGGCAGUAUAUUUAGGCCUCCAUUUCUCUUAGAAAUAUAUUUUGAUUCUCAGCAUAUAGAUCUGGUACAUUCGAUUUAGAUUUAGCUCUAAACAUUUCUUAGUUUUGGUGCUAUUCCAAGGCAUGCAGAUUUCUUCUUGAAUGUCCAAUUGUUGUUUCUAGCAUGGUUCUAGCUUGUUCUUGAAGCCAGAAACCUCACUAAUAAAUUGACCUCCUAGAGACAGCAGCUUUCUGUCUGGAUAUACAUGGCUUAUUCAUUUGCCUACUGAAGGCCAUCUUGAUUGUUUCCAAGUUCUAGUGAUGAACAAAGCUGUCAUAAACACCCUUUCACUGCAUUGGCAACAUCUGAGCGAUCUUUAAAAAGCAAUUUUACAACUACUUGCUGAAUCAGCUCUGCAUUUCCCCCAAGUUAAAGAAAUAAUUCAUAAAUGAUCUUUCUUCAGACUUUAUGCAGACGAGAAUCAUCUGCAGGCAUUUGUUGAGCUGCAUCUUUCAACAUUUUAUUUGGUAGGUCUGUAGCAAGAACCGAGAUCUGUAUUUUAACAAGCCUCGGGUUAUUCCUUUGCAGCUGGCCUCAUUGGCCACACUGAAAAUGAGCUAACACUGUUUCUCGCUUAGGAUACAUAGGUGAUUUCUACCAGUGUCUAGGAGAAAGAGGCCUUUACAUGAUCCAGAAUUGAAUGGAGGCAGGAGAAAUGUCUACGCAAAUAGUUGAAGUUCACUUUCUCUUCUUCAAAUUUUGCCAAUUAUAUCGGUGAGCCUGAGUAUCUUCGACAGUAAACAGGGCACACCUGCCCCAGGAAAGGAACCUGUCUGUCAACUUUCUGAGUUUUCUGUCCCCAGUAUCCACGUCCAAAGGCUUGGGAUGAGUCGAGUUCCAGGAGGACGGCCUCCGGUGGUUCGUUCUUGCCAGCUCAGACUUGCCCGGAAGCCAACGCCACCUGGACAGAAGGAUGUACAGGGGUAGACGAGUCUGUGUCACCCCGCCUGGACUACACCCUCUCCAUGCCCAGCCCUCUAGACCGAUGCCGUCAUCAAUAAUUCAAGGCACGCCUUUCCAUUGGCUAGAACCUCCACCGCUGGCAGACGCCCAAUGAG